GAUGAACGCUGGCGGCGUGCCUAAUACAUGCAAGUCGAGCGAACAGACGAGGAUUUUGCUCCUCUGACGUUAGCGGCGGACGGGUGAGUAACACGUGGAUAACCUACCUAUAAGACUGGGAUAACUUCGGGAAACCGGAUCUAAUACCGGAUAAUAUAUUGAACCGCAUGGUUCAAUAGUGAAAGACGGUUUUGCUGUCACUUAUAGAUGGAUCCGCGCCGCAUUAGCUAGUUGGUAAGGUAACGGCUUACCAAGGCAACGAUGCGUAGCCGACCUGAGAGGGUGAUCGGCCACACUGGAACUGAGACACGGUCCAGACUCCUACGGGAGGCAGCAGUAGGGAAUCUUCCGCAAUGGGCGAAAGCCUGACGGAGCAACGCCGCGUGAGUGAUGAAGGUCUUCGGAUCGUAAAACUCUGUUAUUAGGGAAGAACAAAUGUGUAAGUAACUAUGCACGUCUUGACGGUACCUAAUCAGAAAGCCACGGCUAACUACGUG
rnacentral:rRNA from 1 species